rnacentral:ncRNA from 1 species
AUAAACCCUAAGAAUGUAAGGAAUAGCGUGGUUAACUGUUCAGAGAGAAAGGCUUUAAGCUGGGAGGCCUUUUCGGUAAGCGCUAAGGUCGUACAGGAGGGGCAGGGGGGAAUGAAGUACUCUCUGACGGAAAAUCCCCGUUAGCGCAUGAUAAGUGCUGGGAGACCCUGUGUCGCUCAGAAUAAAGGUGGUACCACGGAAGCUUUUCGUCCUUUAC